AGUAAGAUACAAAAAGUGUUUCAUUUCUGCAGAGAUUGCCGCAUUGCAUGCUCACAUCGACCGACUCCUGCAUCCUCAGUGUCCCCAGGGAGCCUCAGUGUGCAGCAGGACUGAAGCAGAAAUGCAACGCUGACCAUCAUCUGAGCUUCAGGAGCUGCUAUGAUGCACCAACAUCUGAUGUCAUCGACUUAUUCUGACUCGUGUCUGAUGGGCUGUGACGAUGACAGGUGUGGAAGCAGCUCGGCUCAAAUGUAAGAAGUAUUUCUUUAUUUUUUGCAUCUUUUAUUCACUUUGAGUUAACGAACUGAAGUGUGUCUAAUUAGAUCACUGCUGACUUUAUUAUUUGGUAAAUAAGUCAUUCAAAUCAACACUAAAACAUUUAAAAAUGUGAUUUCUUUACGUUAAACUGAUCUGAAAUACUUUCCCCGUAAUCAUGGAAUAAUUCUCUCUCUCUUCAAAGUCCUUAUAAUGUCAAAACGUUCCUAUUGAUGU